rnacentral:lncRNA from 1 species
GUUCCAGGUUGCAGCUACACUGAGUCCAGACACUCGAGCCUCGCUGGAAAGGACCGUACCUGGUGCUGCUGACCACCCUGACAGCUGUCAAUUCUCAGCCCUCACCAGCCGUGUACUAGCUGUUGGGGCUGAGAGCUGGGACCUAGAGGGAAAUUCAGUCAUGUUUGUCCUGGGUUCUAUCAAGAUAGGUGUGGGAUAGGCUUGAUCUCCAUUACAAAUGAUGUAACAUUGCAUAUGUUAGUACUCUUAACACUUCUUGGGACUG